CUGGAAGAAUCUGGAGACAGGUGCUGCAUGGCUGUCGUCAGCUCGUGUCGUGAGAUGUUGGGUUAAGUCCCGCAACGAGCGCAACCCUUGCCUUUAGUUGCCAGCAGUUCGGCUGGGCACUCUAAAGGGACUGCCGGUGUUAAACCGGAGGAAGGUGGGGAUGACGUCAAGUCCUCAUGGCCUUUAUGACCAGGGCUACACACGUACUACAAUGGCCGAUACAAAGGGCAGCGACACUGCGAGGUGAAGCCAAUCCCGUAAAAUCGGUCUCAGUCCGGAUUGGAGUCUGCAACUCGACUCCAUGAAGUUGGAAUCGCUAGUAAUCGUGGAUCAGCAUGCCACGGUGAAUACGUUCCCGGGCCUU
rnacentral:rRNA from 1 species